rnacentral:rRNA from 1 species
UAGAGUUUGAUCCUGGCUCAGGAUGAACGCUAGCUACAGGCUUAACACAUGCAAGUCGAGGGGAAACGGCAUUGAGUGCUUGCACUCUUUGGACGUCGACCGGCGCACGGGUGAGUAACGCGUAUCCAACCUUCCCAUUACUGUGGGAUAACCUGCCGAAAGGCAGACUAAUACCGCAUAGUCUUCGAUGACGGCAUCAGAUUUGAAGUAAAGAUUUAUCGGUAAUGGAUGGGGAUGCGUCUGAUUAGCUUGUUGGCGGGGUAACGGCCCACCAAGGCGACGAUCAGUAGGGGUUCUGAGAGGAAGGUCCCCCACAUUGGAACUGAGACACGGUCCAAACUCCUACGGGAGGCAGCAGUGAGGAAUAUUGGUCAAUGGACGGAAGUCUGAACCAGCCAAGUAGCGUGCAGGAUGACGGCCCUAUGGGUUGUAAACUGCUUUUGUAUGGGGAUAAAGUUAGGGACGUGUCCCUAUUUGCAGGUACCAUACGAAUAAGGACCGGCUAAUUCCGUGCCAGCAGCCGCGGUAAUACGGAAGGUCCAGGCGUUAUCCGGAUUUAUUGGGUUUAAAGGGAGCGUAGGCUGGAGAUUAAGUGUGUUGUGAAAUGUAGACGCUCAACGUCUGACUUGCAGCGCAUACUGGUUUCCUUGAGUACGCACAACGUUGGCGGAAUUCGUCGUGUAGCGGUGAAAUGCUUAGAUAUGACGAAGAACUCCGAUUGCGAAGGCAGCUGACGGGAGCGCAACUGACGCUUAAGCUCGAAGGUGCGGGUAUCAAACAGGAUUAGAUACCCUGGUAGUCCGCACAGU